rnacentral:misc_RNA from 1 species
UUGGUUUGUUACGGUGGUCGGCUCACUUGCUUUUGCACAACUUCCACCUGACAUGCCUAUUUGUUCGUCCGUUAAGGCUUCGAUUGCCUGAACAAAUUGUCGGUUUCCUGUGAUGCCUGCCUAACAAAUGGAAUCGAUUUGGCUUAUCUAAGUUCUAUUCGUCUUUUGUUAUGCGUAUGACGUUAGAUGAACCCUAAACAUGUCUCUUUGAACCACAUCAUUAAUGCUCGUGUUGAUGUAAUGGCGCAUUGAGCCUUGCUUGGUCUCUUCGAUGUAGUGCUUGAUGUGGGCAUGGGUCUGUUGGGAUCCUUGUUAUGUCCCUGAUUAGUGUUUACGCUCCGUAAAAUGACUGCUUGUCACGCGUUGGCUCGUAAAGGCGUGCUGGGCUUUGUCUAAAAGGAAUGUUACCUGGU